AUGAGUAUCAUCUGCUGGAACUGUUGAGGCUUGGGGUCGGACUCGACAGUUGGCGAGCUUCGCUGGCUUGUGAAGCUUUACCGCCCCUCCCUCCUCUUUCUUUCGGAGACGAAGAUGAGGGACUCUCGUGUGAGGAAUUUUAUGUGGUCUCUGGGUUUUACUAGCUGCUUUGCCAUUAGCAGCGAGGGUCUCAGUGGCAGCCUUGCUCUCUUCUGGUCGUCAUCUGCUAAUGUGGCUGUCAAAGCGGCCAACAAACGGUGUAUUGAUCUUCAUGUGAAAUUGGAGGAUGGUGCACCUUGGCGGGCGUCUUUCAUUUACGGGGAACCAAGAUGA
rnacentral:rRNA from 1 species